GAUGAACGCUGGCGGCGUGCCUAAUACAUGCAAGUCGAGCGCGAGAGUGAGGAGCUUGCUCCUCAUAAUCGAGCGGCGGACGGGUGAGUAACACGUAGGCAACCUACCCUUGAGAUUGGGAUAACUACCGGAAACGGUAGCUAAUACCGGAUACGACUUUUCCACACAAGUGGAAUGGUUAAAAGGCGGAUUUAUCCGCCGCUCAUGGAUGGGCCCGCGGUGCAUUAGCUAGUUGGUGAGGUAGUGGCUCACCAAGGCGACGAUGCAUAGCCGCCCUGAGAGGGUGAUCGGCCACACUGGGACUGAGACACGGCCCAGACUCCUACGGGAGGCAGCAGUAGGGAAUCUUCCGCAAUGGACGCAAGUCUGACGGAGCAACGCCGCGUGAGUGAUGAAGGGUUUCGGCUCGUAAAACUCUGUUGUUAAGGAAGAACACUUGAGGUAGUAACUGGCCUUGAGAUGACGGUACUUAACCAGAAAGCCACGGCUAACUACGUGCCAGCAGCCGCAGUAA
rnacentral:rRNA from 1 species